UACGGGGGGAGCAAGCGUUGUUCGGAUUUACUGGGCGUAAAGGGCGCGUAGGCGGUCAGCACAAGUCAGUUGUGAAAUCUCCGGGCUUAACCCGGAAAGGUCAACUGAUACUGUGCGACUAGAGUGCGGAAGGGGCAACUGGAAUUCUCGGUGUAGCGGUGAAAUGCGUAGAUAUCGAGAGGAACACCUGCGGCGAAGGCGGGUUGCUGGGCCGAUACUGACGCUGAGGAGCGAAAGCGUGGGGAGCGAACAGG
rnacentral:rRNA from 1 species